GACAGCGUAGACGGUUGCCCUGGCUAGCAAACUUGUGGCAAUCUUCAUACCUCAGCCUCCCAAGUGAUGAGAUGACUCUUCAAGGGGAAAUGCUAGAAUCACGGCGGCGGUAGAUAAACGCCAUUGUCCACUUGCCCGCUGCCAUUACUUUCCUCCUGACUUUGUUAGAUUCGGGUUUGGUCUCUGAUGACGCUAGCCACUACUCGCGUCGUAUAUGAGAGGCAACAGCGCCCUCUGGUGUCCAAACCCACAAAGGGAGGGAUAAGAGAAGAGGAAGGGCAAAGUCACGUGACUCUACUCCAGGGUGCCAGACCAAGUGACAAGACGUUAGUCUGACAACACGUUACCUGUUCUGGAAAGCUAGGCGAUUAAGGAGCCUUGAGAGACGCUGUCGCAGAUUCGACUAGCAUCAGGGACUGUACUGGCCGGAGCCACCCUAGAUGGAUGAGAGCCGCUGGAGCAGGAAGGAGGACGGACCUCUGAUGGUAGCUGUGGAAGCCAGAGCCCCCACGUGCUAGAUUCGCUCGGCAGAGAAGGGCUAUGAGCUGGAGGAGACGGGGUGCCUGCCCACCCCGCCUCCAUUUAUCACACAGUAGCCAUUGAUGCUGGCAGCCUGCUGGAAACUGGGCAGGAGACUGGUUCCCGUGGUCCCAGGCCAUCAGGUGGGAAACAGAGAAGGGGUACGGAAAGUGGGUAGUGUGAGCAUUGCAGCUCAGAUGGAAAGGGAUCCUGGCAGUCGGGAGCAAAGGAAGACCACAAAGUCCCUGUAAGCAUAGCAGCUUAUACAGCUCUGCUCCAGGGAAAGGUUUCCCUGAUGUAACAGCUCUGCCCAGGCAGAGGAGGGUUUCCUCGGCAAAGUUGUUACAGCUCUGCUCGGCUAGGCGAAGGUUUCUCCCCCGAAAGCAUUCCAGCCUUGCCCCUCCACCCAGGCUCUGCUUCCACAGACCUCAUUCAAGAGAUUUGUUGGGAGGGAAGAAUCCAGGAGGGUGGCUGCCUCUGGCAGGGUGGGAAAAGGCAUCAGCAAACUGAACAGGUUCAGGGCUUAUACAAGGCUUCUUAGGGGCGGAGUUUUUCCCAGGGAGAAGAUUUUCGGGGUGGGAAUCGGUCAGAUUUCAAGUCCCUUGAGCUUGGAGAAGCUCAGAUUGGCUAGAUUUUGUGCUCAGGGAUUGGUUGGUUGGUUUUAAGCUCAGUUGGUCAGGGGCAGAUUUGGCUCUGGUUUUCCGGGCCAAAAGUGUGUUUCUUUCACUGGCCCUUUUUAGCCUUUCCAAAUGCUAAAAUCCUAAUCAAUUUAGCUUUUGUAGGUAUAGCUUCUUUCUGACGACUUUGUUCACAGUGUCAACUCUGAAAAUGACCGGAAGUGUCAUUGUAGUACAAGACUUUGCACUCUGCACCUCUAUAUCUACCUUCUCAUGAGCAAAAGCAGUGCAUUUAAGGAUUCGGUGGGAGCAACAGUGGAAAGUCCAGCAUGGGGCAGGUACCUGCACAAGGAAUUUGGCUGACGUUCAGGUGGAAUUAAGAGGCAGCUGGACUCCAGGUAAUCGAGCAGCACAUAUAUCCCAAGUCAAGAAUGGGUGCACAUCAGUGUUUCCAGCAGCCCCAGCACCCAAAAGAUGAUGGGCCAGGUGUUGGGGUACACGCCUAUAGUCUCAGCCCUUGACAGACUGAGGCGGAGGGAUCAGCAGUUUGAGGUCAGCCUUACUACAUACAGCAUAACCUUGUCUCAGUAAAGCGACAAAGUGGGGCGUGGUGGUGUACACCUUUUAUCCCAGAGGCAGGAGAAUCUCUGUGAGUUUGAGGUCCGCAUGGACAGCCAGGACUACACAGAGAGACCCAGUUCAAAGAGAGAAAGAGAGAAACCAACUAAACAAACAAAAACAGUCUGGGGCUGGGACAAUGGCUCCAUGGGUUAGAGUGAUUGCUGAGCAAGUGUAAGGAUGUGAGUUCAGAUCCCCGGCCCUGGGAUCCCAGCACUCCUGUGAAAGGAUGGGAGGUGGAGACAAGAGAAUCCUUGGAAGCUCAUGGGCCACUAGCCUGGAUUAUGUGAUACAGAGAAAACAAUAAAGAGACCCUGUCUCAAACAAGAUGGAAGGCCAGGCCUGCCGCUCAGGGCUGUCUUCUGAGCUCUACAUAUGCAUCUUGUGCACACAAAACAACCAGUGGCUCAUCCUUGAAGGUGGUCCUUGGAGGGUCAGGGGAGUCACUGCAGAAGGAGAUAGACAAGGAACAACCUCCCCAUCCCCUCCCUCUCCUCCUUAUUCUCAGUCUUUUUUAUUUAAAAAAAUAUUUAAUGAUUUUAUUUUAUGUGUCUGAGUAUUUUGCUUGCUUCCCUAUUGUGUGUAUGUGUAGUACCUGUGGCUGCCAGAAGAGGGCAUCAGAUCCACUGGAAGUGGAGUUAAAACAUUUAUGAGCCACCUUGUGGAUGCUGGGAAUCGAACUCAGAAGAGAGCAUCAGAUCCAAUGGAAGUGGAGUUAAAACAUUUAUGAGCCACCUUGUGGAUGCUGGGAAUCGAACUCAUGUCCUAUGGGAAGAGCAGCCAUUGCUCUUAACCCCUGAGCCAUCUCUCCAGCCUCUUAUUCUCACUCUUAGUAUUGUUAUUCUUGUUCUUCCUCUUUAGCUUUUUAACCCUUCUUCCCACUGGCCUUUUUCUUGGUCCAUGUGAAAUGUUAAUAUGUACGGGGUUUUCCUGGUUAGAGUGUUGGGGGUUGGAGUGAGAGGGGAUAUGAGUAGGGCUUGGAGGAGGGGAAGAUGCAUUCAGGACAUCCCAGUCAGCAGUUAGAAGGGCCCUGAGGACUGUGGUCCCCCAAGUUCCUGGGGCUGAUGAUGGUUUGUGCCUUACUAAGUUAUGUAGUUAGUUGGUUCUAAGCUUUACCAUGCAUCCUCAGUACCAAGCCUAGGCCAGCCUGAAACUUACUGUGUGGUCCAGCCUGGUUUCUAGCUCAGAAACCUAAGUCCUCCUGACUCAGUCUCAAAAAUGUUAGGAUGUCAGGUGCAUGUCAUCACACCUGGCUGGACAAAGAAUUUCUGUUUCAAGUUGGUUUACAAAAAACAGGCCGAGAAAUGAUGCAGAGAAGGGUAGGGUGCAUGUUAUGGCCACUAUUAAUAGUUUCUCCAGAAUUUACAGUGUGGAGAGACUUGAGAUUUACCUUGAAAUUGCAUUUGUAACACAAACCAUUUUCCACCUGAUUGCCUACGGCGGGCGGAAUCAGUGGGUCUGUGGGUGGAGGUCAACCACUAUGCAAAGCAGUUUUCUCAAAUGGCCACAAGGGGGUGCUACAGCCCAGGGCAGUGGAAACUAAGGGCAGAUCCUGGCCUGAGAAUUGAGGACCAGGCAGGAAAGGAGGGUAAAACCAGCAGUUUAGCUGGGUGUGGUGGCGCACAUCUUUAAUCCUAGUGCUUGGGAGGCAGAGGCAGGCAGGUCUCUAUAUUGAGUUCCAGGCCAGCCAGAGCUACAAUAGUGAGACCCUGCCUCCAAAAAAAAAAAAAAAAAAGGAAAACCAGCAGCUGGGGAAGAGUGGAGAUGGGAGGAAUUUUCUUCUCCCUACAGAUGACAAUCCUGAUUCUAUUUGCUUAUUUAUAGACAGGGUAUCACUAUGUAGUCCAUGGCUGGCCUAGAAUUCAGACGGACUCACAACCCCUGCCUCAGAGCUGAGUGCUGGGACUGAAGGUGUGAGCCCUCAUGCCCAGAUGAUUCAU